UACGAGAGGCCCAAACGUUAUUCGGAUUUACUGGGCUUAAAGAGUUCGUAGGCGGCUCAGUUAGUCGGGUGUGAAACCCCCGGGCUCAACCCGGGGACGCCACCCGAUACUGCUGUGGCUAGAGUCCGGUAGGGGAGCGUGGAAUUCCUGGUGUAGCGGUGAAAUGCGCAGAUAUCAGGAGGAACACCAGCGGCGAAGGCGGCGCUCUGGGCCGGAACUGACGCUGAGGAGCGAAAGCGUGGGGAGAGAACGGG
rnacentral:rRNA from 1 species